rnacentral:lncRNA from 1 species
AACUUUCUAUUAGUAACCGAACCGUAUAUCGACACCUCCUUUUAUGAUUAAAAUGUUAUGCAAUCACUAUUAAAGAAAGAAGGAAAAACACAAGUCAGAAUUAUGCAUAACAAUAAAAAUCAAAGCAAUCAAGAAAUUAUCAAACGCCUAUUCGGGAAAUAACUAGGGCUGAGUGUAAUUCUACCUAAGGCAGGUUCCUACAGCUCACUAUAUGUGGUUUAG